GGGGGUGUGUCCUGGUGGUAAAGUGCUUGCCUACCAUGUAUGAGGCCCUGGGUUCUGUUCCCAGCACCCUCC
rnacentral:tRNA from 1 species